ensembl:lncRNA
UGAAUGAGUAAAAGUAUAUAAUAAACAUAUAGAAAUAAAAAACAUUUUUUUACAUUAGUAAUUCAUUGUGUGCAUAAUUUUAAAUUGCUGUUGACAAUGAAUUAAUUAAAGCAACAAAACAACCUAAAGUGCCGGUGAAGAGUCGAAAGAGCCAGGUUUGGGGUUUUUUUGGAGAGGCGACCCGAAAGAGCCAGUUCUCUAAAAAGAGCUGGAAUUCCCAUCACUACAAGCGUAUUGUUGGGUAAUUGAUAGCGAGCUGAGCUGAGCUGAGCUAACUGUGUUUGUGUUUGCCUGUCUUCAGGAGGAAGGGCGAGACGGAGAGACUGGAGGAGAGAUUCACGGAGUUUGGGGAAUUUAUUGGACACUGACGCAUUACCACGCACCACGGGAAAAGGGAGAGUGCCACGAAGGAAGAUUUGCGCUGUGGAUUGUUGUUUACUCAUUUCCUCACAGUAAACCAUAGCGCUGAUCUACUAUACCAAGGGAUCCGAGUCUGGGUCCGCUAACCACUUCUGACAAGUACAACACAUCAGAUCGUCCUCCAUUCACAAAGCAGAUUUAAUCUUAACAGUGAUGGAAGAAGCAGCUACCAGAACAAGAGGGCGAACUUGCUUCAGAUUCAUCAAGUGCUUGUUUGUCUUUAUAAUUCUGUUCAUCUUAUCUCUUCUGUGCCUUAUUUUCAUGGCAAUCUGGGCCAAGGACCAAGUGUUUCAGCAAAUACAGAAAAGAGUAAACGAAGAAGUUGACAAACACAAGGAAGAUGACGUGAAUAGAAGAGCAGCAAUCACAAAAAUAUUGGAUCUCACAAGUUCACUGGAUAACAAGGAAAAACUGGAAAUAUUCAAGGAAACCCUUCAAACAGCGAUAGAACAGGAAGAGAGACUGAAGGAAGAAUCCAAGUACAAAUUGAGAAUCCUCUCAAAACAAUUCAAUGAAGAAAUGAAGGAACUUAUUCCUGAAUUGGUAGAAGCAAUGAUAUUAUCAUAUGAUUCUCCACCACUGCAGGAAAUGGUUGACAUUGCAUUUCACAUGUCGAAAAAAACCAGGACUUACUUAGAUAAGAAGCUGGAUUUGCUGCAAGAAUAGAGAAAGGAGUAAAUGAUGAGCUUCAGAAAAUUGUAAGAGAAACAAUAAAUUGAACUUUUGUUUCUGUUUUCAUUUGUUGACCUAUGUAACGUAUAUCAUGUAUUUGUGAAAGGACAUAAUCUGAAUUGUUUUUGUGACUUUCUCUAAUUGUAUACUUCUUAGCUGUGUAAGAUCUUGCCCUAUAAUGGUCUCUGAGUGGUAUUAUAAAGUGAAAAGCUUUACUCCUGGUGUGAGGCCUAAACAAGAGCACAGUUGAGCUCUUCAGUCUUGAUGCAAUAAUGACUGCAGUAGUGAAACCUGGAUCCUUGUGUAGGCAGCACAACUUGUCAGUUUGUUGCAGUUAUUUAAGUUCCAGUGUUGUAGUUGUUUAGGCUGUGUUUAACUUCCUUAUCAAAGAGACCAGAAAAAGGCAGACCUGCAUAGUGUAUGAUCAGUUCUGUUCUGAAACUAAACCUGAGGUUUCCAAAUCUAGCUAAUGCUUCCACAUGUAUGAUCUGGUGUUGGCAGCAUGUAACCAGUCACAGACAUGAACAGGUCUACUGGCAAGUUGUGCUCCCACCUCAUGGAUUCUCUGCUUACAGUAAUAAUAUUUUGAUCAUAUUAGCUAAUGUGAUCAAAACAAAACAAAAAUGUUUGGAUCACAUACACAAGAAUAUUAAACACAUAAACACAAAUAGUACAUUGUGUGUGUGUGUGUGUGUGUGUGUGUGUUUGUUGAUGUUUAAUUUACUUCUUUACAUAGAAGAGUUUUUCUGAUUAGAAAAAUACUGCUACAGUGUAUACCAUUACAUAUUAACAUAUAUUAAUUUAGGUAAUAAAAAUUCUUGGUGAUUUAUGUCAAUAAAGGAUUUGUAACUGUGCAAACUGUGACAUUUAUGGGGAAAUAAAGCGGUUGUGGCUUCUUGGUUCUUAUAAACUUGAAUGGUACAGUUUUGUCAUGAAAGUGCAAUCUUCAUCAAACAAUUACAAUUUAAGAAAUAUAAUUAUAUUGUUUAUAAUGGUCUUUUUUCCAUAAAUUUAGCAUAACAUAUUAUGGUCAUUUUUAAUAUGGUCAUUAUCUUAUAAUUAUGACAUAAUUCAUGAAAUAUAUGAAUGUUUAAUGGGUUAUCUAAUCAUUACGUUAUUUAAUUCAACACAAAGGUACUGACUAAGUCUCUGGCUGAUGUACUGAUGAACUGAGCAGUUGUAUUCACUAAUUCAAGAGGUUGAAAUUUGAAUAAUACAUAAAUAUAUUUAUGAAAAUCUCAAUCUAAACAUUUGUGAAUAUUUUUUGAGUGGUGUGUAUGGUGUGCUCAAUACACACCCAUGCAGUGAGCUAAUAUUGAGUAUGAUGAUGGAGGACAAGACACUGGGAAUUUUCACAGACUCACGCUUGUCUGUCAAGAAUUCCAGCACCAGUUGUCUGAGUCCCAACAAUAAAAGUGGCUAGUGUCUGUGGAUUGAUGGUAUUACGCAAAAUUAAAGUCCAGAAAGAGUAGUCAGACAUAUACACUCCAAGUCAAAACUGUGGACACACCUUCUCAUUUAAUGGUUUUUCUUUAUUUUCAUGACUAUUUACAUUGUAGAUUCUCACUGAAGGCACCAUUACACUUUUUUAUUUACUACAUAAUUCCAUAUGUGUUUAUUCGUAGUUUUAACUCAAAACACAUUUUAUAUUUUAGAUUCUUUAAAAUAGCCUCCCUUUGCUUUGAUUACUGCUUUGCACACUCUUGGCAUUGUCUCUAUGAGCUUCAUGAGGUCGUCACCUGAAAUAGUUUUCCCACAGUCUUGAAGAAGUUCCCAGAGAUGCUGAGCACUUGUUGGCCCUUUUGCCUUCACUCUGCGGUCCAUCUCAUCCUAAACCAUCUUGACUGGGUCAGGUGACUGUGGAGGCCAGGCUAUUAUUAAAUUCCGUUCUUUUGAAUUCUUUUGACGGCAGAAAAAGACUGGACUCAGAGUGGUCAAAGCUCAAAAAAUAAUCUUUAUUUUACAUUUCCCUUAAUGGAGACCUGAACACACGAAGACAAAAGCUCAGGUCUGAAAGCUUUAGAAGCCAGCAUGGUUAUAUAUAUAUUUCUGCUGCACGUCACACACACUAAGUUUCGAUCAAAACAACUCUGCUUAGUUUCACUUUCUGUCUGCACCUCCUAUGCUCUGCAAAAGCAUGCAGUUUCCUUUCAGUACUUUUGGCUCAGACUCUGCUAGUGGUUUCUUAGCAGCUAUUUAACCACAAAGGCCUGAUUCCACUGAACAGUUGAUGUAGAGAUGUGUCCGCUACUGGAACUCUGUGUGGUAUUUAUCUGGGCUCUAAUCUGAGCUGCUGUUAACUUGUGAUUUCUGAGGCUGGUGACUGAUAAAUGUAUUCUCAGCAGCAGAGGUGACUCAUGGUCUUCCUUUCCUGGGGCGGUCCUCAUGUCAGCCAGUUUUGUCAUAGCGCUUGAUAGUUUUUGCGACUGCACUUAGGGACAAAUUCAGAGUUUUAGCAAUUUUCCAGACUGACUGACCUUCAUUUCAAGUAAUGAUGGACUGUCAUUUCUAGAUAGAUAGAUAGAUAGAUAGAUAGAUAGAUAUAUUGGAGGAGAGAGAGAGAGUGUGCAUAGUAUGCAAACGGCUUACAAACAGCCAUCAUAAUUCAUCAGACAAUGAGAACAGGACAAAUCAACAACUGACAAUGACUAAUUAAUAUUGUGCUGAACACAGUCCAAAAGAUUCAGUAAGCUACAUCAGUGUCCACUGUUUAUUCUCAUAGCCAAGUGGCUAGCAAAAGUAAACUGACGUUUUCACUAUCCCUACUAAUUAAUGUUAUCUUGUUGUAUCUCUGUUGUGAUCAGUGCUAUCCUCUAUGCUGUUGAAUGCUGGGGCAGCAGGUUGAGGGUCACAGAUGCCAACAGACUAAAUAAACUGAUCCACAAGGCCAGUAAUGUGUUGGGGGUGGAGCUGGACUUCCUUGGGGUGGUGUCUGAGAGGCAGAUGUUGUCCAAGAUAAGGACAAUCAUGGAAAAUACCUCCCACCCACUCCAUGACGCACUGGCUAGUCGCAGGAGCACGUUCAGUGAGAGACUGAGAUUACCAAAAGCACCACUGAACGACACAGGAAAUCAUUCCUGCCUGUGGCCAUUUCCCUGUACAACUCCUCCAUCUAACACACUGUAAACACUGCAAUAGUUGCAGCCUUUUUACACACACUCUUUUCUACUCCGUAAUAUUCUUGUCAUUGUUUUUGAUAUUUAUCACCUCUGUUAAUCCUUGAUAUUUAUAAUUGAGUGAUCUAUAUAUAUUGGUGCUAUUUCUUAAAUGUGGAAAAUCUGUAACACAAUGUAUUGUUUGGACUUUAGUCUGUUACUGUUACUAUUUUUACCAUUUCUUCUUGGAGCAACUGUAACCCACAUAAUUUCCUUAGGGGUUAAUGAAGUAUUCUGAUUCUGAUUGUUUCAGGACACAUGACCUGCCAUUAUCCAAUGACACAUUAGCUUACCUGUAUCUUUUGCUCGUUUCUCCUCUUCUUUUCUCUUUUUUUCUAAACUGAGCACCUGAUGGCUUUCAACUUUUCUUGUCCAUCUUAAAUGGAUUUUUAAUUUUGCACUCCAGUAUGAACAGCCAUCCCCCAACCCAAGGAUCACCAAAACAUGACCUAAUAGACCUACACCUUAGUUCACAGAUAUGCUUUGUCUAGGGCAGGGGUCGGCAACCUGCAGCUCCGGAGUCGCAUGCGGCUCUUUAGUC